GUUGUCAUGGCGGAGUGGUUAAGACGAUGGACUAUAAAUCUAUUGGGUCUUCCCCGCGCAGAUUCAAAUCCUGCCGAUAACG